rnacentral:ribozyme from 1 species
GACAAAACAUUUUUUUAUCGAAGGAAAUAUGGUACUUUUGACAACAUACUAAUUGAAAGUGGCAUGGCACAUGCUUGUAAAAAAAUUAUUAUGAAAACUUUCUUUUGUAUAACAUAAUUAAGCAGUUAUCCACUUUAAAAAA